GAUGAACGCUGGCGGCGUGCCUAAUACAUGCAAGUCGAGCGAACAGACGAGGAGCUUGCUCCUCUGACGUUAGCGGCGGACGGGUGAGUAACACGUGGAUAACCUACCUAUAAGACUGGGAUAACUUCGGGAAACCGGAGCUAAUACCGGAUAAUAUAUUGAACCGCAUGGUUCAAUAGUGAAAGACGGUUUUGCUGUCACUUAUAGAUGGAUCCGCGCCGCAUUAGCUAGUUGGUAAGGUAACGGCUUACCAAGGCAACGAUGCGUAGCCGACCUGAGGGGUUGAUCGGCCACACUGGAACUGAGACACGGUCCAGACUCCUACGGGAGGCAGCAGUAGGGAAUCUUCCGCAAUGGGCGCAAGCCUGACCGAGCAACGCCGCGUGAGUGAUGAAGGUCUUCGGAUCGUAAAACUCUGUUAUUAGGGAAGAACAAAUGUGUAAGUAACUAUGCACGUCUUGACGGUACCUAAUCAGAAAGCCACGGCUAACUACGUG
rnacentral:rRNA from 1 species